ACAGGUCUGUGAUGCUCUUAGAUGUCUGGGGCUGCAUGCAUGCCACAGUGACUGGCUGUCUUCUUCCCUUGGUGGAUGCUUGCUUCAGCUCCUCUUGUCAUUGGACAUCAGACUCCAGGUUCAUCUGCCUUUGGCCUCUGAGGCUUGCACCAGCAGCUUGCCAGGGGCUCUCAGGCCUUUGGCUGCAGACUGAAGGCUGCACUGCCAGCUUCCCUGGUUUUGAGGCUUUCAGACUUGGACUGGGCCACUACCGGCUUCUUUCUUCCCCAGUUGCAUUCAGCCUAUUGUAGAACUUUGUAAUCAUGUGAGAUAACUCUCC
rnacentral:lncRNA from 1 species